UACAGAGGUCCCAAGCGUUGUUCGGAUUCAUUGGGCGUAAAGGGUGUGUAGGUGGCGCCGUAAGUCGGGUGUGAAAUUUCGGAGCUUAACUCCGAACUGCAUUCGAUACUGCGGUGCUUGAGGACUGGAGAGGAGACUGGAAUUCAUGGUGUAGCAGUGAAAUGCGUAGAGAUCAUGAGGAGACCAGUGGCGAAGGCGGGUCUCUGGACAGUUCCUGACACUGAGAGCACGAAGGCCAGGGGAGCAAACGGG
rnacentral:rRNA from 1 species